AACGAACGCUGGCGGCAUGCCUAACACAUGCAAGUCGAACGAGACCUUCGGGUCUAGUGGCGCACGGGUGCGUAACGCGUGGGAACCUGCCCUUAGGUUCGGAAUAACUCCCCGAAAGGGGUGCUAAUACCGGAUAAUGUCUUCGGACCAAAGAUUUAUCGCCUUUGGAUGGGCCCGCGUUGGAUUAGCUAGUUGGUAGGGUAAAAGCCUACCAAGGCGACGAUCCAUAGCUGGUCUGAGAGGAUGAUCAGCCACACUGGGACUGAGACACGGCCCAGACUCCUACGGGAGGCAGCAGUGGGUAAUAUUGGAAAAUGGGCGAAAGCCUGAUGCAGCAAUGCCGCGUAAGUGAUGAAGGCCUUAGAGUUGUAAAGCUCUUUUACCCGGGAUGAUAAUGACAGUACCGGGAGAAUAAGCUCCGGCUAACUACGUG
rnacentral:rRNA from 1 species